rnacentral:rRNA from 2 species
UACGGAGGGUGCGAGCGUUGUCCGGAAUCACUGGGCGUAAAGGGCGCGUAGGUGGCGCGGGAAGUCUUCGGUGAAAGCUCAGGGCUCAACCCUGAGUCGGCCGGCGAUACUCCCGUGCUCGAGCUCACUAGAGGCAGAUGGAAUUCCGGGUGUAGCGGUGGAAUGCGUAGAGAUCCGGAAGAACACCGGUGGCGAAGGCGGUCUGCUGGGGUGAUGCUGACACUGAUGCGCGACAGCGUGGGGAGCAAACAGG